rnacentral:rRNA from 1 species
GAUGAACGCUGGCGGCGUGCCUAAUACAUGCAAGUCGAGCGAACGGACGAGAAGCUUGCUUCUCUGAUGUUAGCGGCGGACGGGUGAGUAACACGUGGAUAACCUACCUAUAAGACUGGGAUAACUUCGGGAAACCGUAGCUAAUACCGGAUAAUAUUUUGAACCGCAUGGUUCAAAAGUGAAAGACGGUCUUGCUGUCACUUAUAGAUGGAUCCGCGCUGCAUUAGCUAGUUGGUAAGGUAACGGCUUACCAAGGCAACGAUGCAUAGCCGACCUGAGAGGGUGAUCGGCCACACUGGAACUGAGACACGGUCCAGACUCCUACGGGAGGCAGCAGUAGGGAAUCUUCCGCAAUGGUCGAAAGCCUGACGGAGCAACGCCGCGUGAGUGAUGACGGUCUUCGGAUCGUAAAACUCUGUUAUUAGGGAAGAACAUAUGUGUAAGUAACUGUGCACAUCUUGACGGUACCUAAUCAGAAAGCCACGGCUAACUACGUG